UGAUUGAGAAGUGGAAACCAGUGGUACUGUUAUGCUGGUUUGGCAUUUUGCUGGAAUCGACUUGCCCACUUACAGAAUUCUCUACCACAAUGACGUGGGUAAACCAAGCUGUGUACCCUAGCUUGGUGAGUAAGAGUGCACAACCCACCUAACCCAAGAGCCAUGAGACAGGUCGGAGUGAGAGGAAGGGGGGGGCUUAUUAUGGUAAUUAUAUCUUGCAGGAAACAUGUCACAGAGUGAUUCAAAACACAUUUUAGUCAUAACAAUAAUCUUAUUGUUCAAGAACUGAAUCAUCUCCUCUUUUCAACGGAAAGGAAACGGUAAAUCAUUAACCAAGAGAAAUAGAGGUUCUCUUAUACUUAUGUGGGCCUGAAAUGUCCACAGGGCCAGUAGCAGGGUCUAUACAGUAGGAAUCACAAACAAG
ensembl:lncRNA